rnacentral:misc_RNA from 1 species
GAUGAAGAACGCAGCGAAAUGCGAUAAGUAAUGUGAAUUGCAGAAUUUAGUGAAUCAUCGAAUCUUUGAACGCACAUUGCGCCCGCCAGUAUUCUGGCGGGCAUGCCUGUUCGAGCGUCAUUUCAACCAUCAAGCCCCAGGCUUGUGUUGGGGACCUGCGGCUGCCGCAGGCCCUGAAAACCAGUGGCGGGCUCGCUGUCACCCCGGGCGUAGUAGAUUUUAUCUCGCUCAGGGCGUGCUGCGGGUUCCGGCCGUUAAAAAGCCUUUUUUACCCAAGGUUGACCUCGGAUCAGGUAGGAAGACCCGCUGAACUUAAGCAUAUCAAUAAGCGGAGGA